AGUAGUUUGAUCCUGGCUCAGAACGAACGCUGGCGGCAGGCUUAACACAUGCAAGUUGAACGGUAUUGUGAGGUGCUUGCACUGAGCAAGAGAGUAGCGCACUGGUGAGUAACACGUGGGAACAUGCCCUAAAGUACGGGAUAGCGUCUGGAAACGGACGAUAAUACGGUAUACGCCCUGAGGGGAAAGAUUUAUCGCUUUAGGAUUGGCCCGCGGCAGAUUAGGUAGUAGGUGGGGUAAAGGCCUACCUAGCCGACGAUCUAUAGCUGGUCUGAGAGGACGAUCAGCCACAUUGGGACUGAGACACGGCCCAGACUCC
rnacentral:rRNA from 1 species